rnacentral:rRNA from 1 species
AUGAGGAGCUUGACGACGUCUCUCGUGGCGGCGCUGCUGCUGCUGUCGGCGCGAGCAGCUGUGGCAGAGCCGUCGACUGCCACCCCGGCACCUACCGCCUGUGACGACAAUUACUCGUGCCCGGAGGGCACGACCUGCUGCUGCAUCUAUCGGCAGGGCGACGAUUGCUUCACCUGGACCUGCUGCCCGCUCCAGGGCACCACCUGCUGCGACGACAGCUACAGCUGCUGCCCCCAUGACUACGGCUUCUGCAACACCAAUCUUGGAACCUGCCUCAUGGGCCAGGACAGCCCGCUGUCAGUGAAGGCUCUGAAGCGUACCAUGGCCAAGCCGCAUUGGGCUUUCUCGUCAGGACCCAAGACUACCAUGUCUGAAUCUACCCAAGAAUUCGAAACUUGCUACAACAGUGAUCAGAUCUCUAGCAUAUUAUAA